rnacentral:rRNA from 1 species
AUUGAACGCUGGCGGCAUGCUUUACACAUGCAAGUCGAACGGUAACAGGCCUUCGGGUGCUGACGAGUGGCGAACGGGUGAGUAAUGCAUCGGAACGUGCCCAGAGGCGGGGGAUAACGCAGCGAAAGCUGUGCUAAUACCGCAUGUGAUAUGAGGAUGAAAGCUGGGGACCAGGCAGCAAUGUUUGGCCUCGCGCCUUUGGAGCGGCCGAUGUCAGAUGAGGUAGUUGGCGGGGUAAAGGCCUACCAAGACGACGAUCUGUAGCUGGUAUGAGAGGGCGACCAGCCAGACGGGCACUGAGAAUCGGCACAGACUCCGGCGGGAGGCAGCAGUGGGGAAUUUUGGAGGAGGGGCGCAAGCCUGAUCUAGCAAUGCCGCGGGAGGGAAGAAGGCCUUCGGGUUGUAAACCGCUGUUGUACGGAACGAAAAGGCUCUGGCUAAUACCUGAUGAUGAUGACGGUACCGUAAGAAUAAGCACCGGCUAACUACGUG